rnacentral:rRNA from 1 species
GUGCACCAGUCGCGAAUUUUUCACAAUGGGGGAAACCCUGAUGGAGCGACGCCGCGUGGAGGAUGAAGGCGUUUUCGUCGUAAACUCCUGUCAAACGGGAACAAGAAAGUGAUAGUACCGUUAGAGGAAGAGGCGGCUAACUCUGUGCCAGCAGCCGCGGUAAUACAGAGGCCUCAAGCGUUGUUCGGAUUCAUUGGGCGUAAAGGGUGCGUAGGUGGCUUGGUAAGUUGAAGGUGAAAUCUCGGGGCUUAACUCCGAAACUGCCUUCAAUACUGCCGAGCUCGAGGAUUGUAGAGGAGAAUGGAAUUCACGGUGUAGCAGUGAAAUGCGUAGAUAUCGUGAGGAAGACCAGUGGCGAAGGCGAUUCUCUGGCAAUUCCUGACACUGAGACACGAAGGCUAGGGGAGCAAACGGGAUUAGAUACCCCUGUAGU